rnacentral:rRNA from 1 species
UACGAAGGGGGCGAGCGUUGUUCGGAAUUACUGGGCGUAAAGGGCGCGCAGGCGGCCCUUGAAGUCAGGCGUGAAAGCCCCGGGCUCAACCUGGGAGGUGCGCUUGAUACUCGAGGGCUUGAGUGCGGGAGAGGAGAGUGGAAUUCCCAGUGUAGAGGUGAAAUUCGUAGAUAUUGGGAAGAACACCAGUGGCGAAGGCGACUCGCUGGACAAGUAUUGACGCUGAGGUGCGAAAGCGUGGGGAGCAAACAGG